ensembl:lncRNA
GCUUGUUUGACUAGCUCCUAACAGUGCAGUAAAAUGUCAAACAAGCACACACAUAAUCCAGAACUAAAAUCAAGAAACGUUAGAAUGAAUCCAAUUAACAACCCAAAUAACACAGUUAGCUAAUACGGUUGUCGAAGCAGAGUCCGCUUCGAUGUCAAUUGGUGACUGUACCAUGGUAGUCUGAAAUGUCACAUCUCCACUCUACUGUACUUCAUCAAAUAUGCAUCACGAGCUACUGAGCCCCUGCUACAUUCCCUGUAUCUGGGACUUCGCGUUCAUUCCUCUUCAAUGAACAAUUGACUCAUCAUUUUGAGUUGGACAGCAAUUACAGAACGUUUCUAAAUGUAAUGCUUAGUAUUAACACAUAGUGUGUUUAUCCAUUUCAACGUUUCACAUCCACCAUGUUUAUUUUGCAUGAAUCUACAGUGGGGCAAAAAAGUAUUUAGUCAGCCACCAAUUGUGCAAGUUCUCCCACUUAAAAAGAUGAGAGAGGCCUGUAAUUUUCAUCAUAGGUACACUUCAACUAUGACAGACAAAAUGAGAAAGAAGAUCCUGAAAAUCACAUUGUAGGAUUUUUUAUGAAUUUAUUUGCAAAUUAUGGUGGAAAAUAAGUAUUUGGUCAAUAACAAAAGUUUAUCUCAAUACUUUGUUAUAUACCCUUUGUUGGCAAUGACAGAGGUCAAACGUUUUCUGUAAGUCUUCACAUGUUUUUCACACACUGUUGCUGGUAUUUUGGCCCAUUUCUCCAUGCAGAGCAGUGAUGUUUUGGGGCUGUUGCUGGGCAACAUGGACUUUCAACUCCCUCCAUAGAUUUUCUAUGGGGUUGAGAUCUGGAGACUGGCUAGGCCACUCCAUGACCUUGAAAUGCUUCUUACGAAGCCACUCCUUCGUUGCCUAGGCGGUGUGUUUGGGAUCAUUGUCAAGCUGAAUGACCCAGCCACGUUUCAUCUUCAAUGCCCUUGCUGAUGGAAGGAGGUUUUCACUCAAAAUCUCACGAUACAUGGCCCCAUUCAUUCUUUCCUUUACACAGAUCAGUCGUCCUGGUCCCUUUGCAGAAAAACAGCCUCAAAGCAUGACGUUUCCACCCCCAUGCUUCACAGUAGGUAUGGUGUUCUUUGGAUGCAACUCAGCAUUCUUUGUCCUCCAAACACGACGAGUUGAGUUUUUACCAAAAAGUUAUAUUUUGGUUUGAUCUGACCAUAUGACAUUCUCCCAAUCUUCUUCUGGAUCAUCCAAAUGCUCUCUAGCAAACUUCAGAUGGGCCUGGACAUGUACUGGCUUAAGCAGGGGGACACGUCUGGCACUGCAGGAUUUGAGUCCCCCCGUGUGGUUCUGGGAUUUUUGCUCACCGUUCUUGUGGUCAUUUUGACCCCACGGGGUGAGAUCUUGCGUGGAGCCCCAGAUCGAGGGAGAUUAUCAGUGGUCUUGUAUGUCUUCCUUUUCCUAAUAAUUGCUCCCACAGUUGAUUUCUUUAAACCAAGCUGCUUACCUAUUGCAGAUUCAGUCUUCCCAGCCUGGUGCAGGUCUACAAUUUUGUUUCUGGUGUCCUUUGACAGCUCUUUGGUCUUGGCCACAGUGGAGUUUGGAGUGUGACUGUUUGAGGUUGUGGACAGGUGUCUUUUAUACUGAUAACAAGUUCAAACAGGUGCCAUUAAUACAGGUAACGAGUGGAGGACAGAGGAGCCUCUUAAAGAAGAAGUUACAGGUCUGUGAGAGCCAGAAAUCUUGCUUAUUUUCCACCAUAAUUUGCAAAUAAAUUCAUUAAAAAUCCUACAAUGUGAUUUUCUGGAUUUUUCCUUCUCAUUUUGUCUGUCAUAGUUUAAGUGUACCUAUGAUGAAAA